rnacentral:rRNA from 1 species
CCUACGGGUGGCUGCAGUGGGGAAUAUUGGACAAUGGGGGGAACCCUGAUCCAGCCAUGCCGCGUGUGUGAAGAAGGCCCUCGGGUUGUAAAGCACUUUCAGUGAGGAAGAACGCCUGGUGGUGAAUACCCAUCAGGAAAGACAUCACUCACAGAAGAAGCACCGGCUAACUCCGUGCCAGCAGCCGCGGUAAUACGGAGGGUGCGAGCGUUAAUCGGAAUUACUGGGCGUAAAGCGCGCGUAGGUGGCUUGAUAAGCCGGUUGUGAAAGCCCCGGGCUCAACCUGGGAACGGCAUCCGGAACUGUCAAGCUAGAGUGCAGGAGAGGAAGGUAGAAUUCCCGGUGUAGCGGUGAAAUGCGUAGAGAUCGGGAGGAAUACCAGUGGCGAAGGCGGCCUUCUGGACUGACACUGACACUGAGGUGCGAAAGCGUGGGUAGCAAACAGGAUUAGAUACCCCCGGUAGUC